CUAAUUUUACAAAUCCCUAACCAUAACCUAAUGAAAAACGCACGCACACAGAGCAGAAGAAAGGGAAAGAAAGGAAACGGGAAGCUUGAGGGGGAGACAGAAGAGAAGAAAGGAGGAAAGGGAGACAGAGGACGAGGGAGAAGAAGAGAGGGGAAGGAAUAGCGCCAUGGAGCUUGGUGCCGCUGGUGAGCUACCAUCGCAGAGAAGAAAGGGAGAGGCGAACGUGACCCACGAAGGAAAGGGAGGAGCCGCCGUCGAGCCACGCACCGUCGCCGUUGUUCGUGCAUUGCUGUUGUCGUUCGCUGAGGGUGAGACGCGAAGAGAAGAUACUGACCUGCACCAUCACGCCUCACUGCCUUCGUCAAGCCUUCAUCACUGUCGAACCUUAUUCCCGUUGCCAUCAGGUUUGCUGCUGCUGCCAUUGAGAGAGCCGCCACUGAGGCGAGCCGAAUAGGGAGAUGAGGUCACCGUCGAUAUGGUCACAGAAAGGGAGAAACGGAUGCGCAUGAGAGAAUGACACAGAAGAGGAGGAGCCAUUCCUCUGCCGUUGCUGUUGCCGGAAAUCUUGGUUGCUGCCGUCAUUCAUGAUAACUGAAGCUUGUCACCGGUGAAGACAAGCUGCUGCGCCAUCCCCUUCAUUCUAACACCGAACCUCCCGUUUGUAACCCUCACUGCGUAUGUUCUGCCGGAAAUGUCGAAAUGGUUGCUGCGAGUGUGAUCAUAGUUGGUGCUGCUGUCUCUGUCCCGGUUAGGUUGGAAUUAUCACUGCUGCUGCCACAAAUUGGGGAUAAAGGGGCUUUUUGCGUUAAAUUAUGCGAUUGCUUCAUCGAGGCAGUGUGGAUAGUAGUCUCCUGUUAAAGCUUCUUUUCAGCACUAUAUUUGAGUAUCUUCAGAUGUUGCAAAUAAUUUCAAAGCCAAUGAAGGAUAUUGGCCCACGUGCAAUGUUCUAUCUGGCUGUUGCAGUAUCUGACUUUUAUGUUCCUUGGAAGGACAUGGUAUAAAAUUGACAUGAUGGUUCUUUCCAUGAAA